UACGUAGGGUGCUAGCGUUGUCCGGAUUUAUUGGGCGUAAAGAGCUCGUAGGCGGUGUGUCACGUCGGCCGUGAAAACCUGCAGCUUAACUGUGGGCGUGCGGUCGAUACGGGCAUCACUGGAGUUCGGCAGGGGAGACUGGAAUUCCUGGUGUAGCGGUGAAAUGCGCAGAUAUCAGGAGGAACACCGGUGGCGAAGGCGGGUCUCUGGGCCGAUACUGACGCUGAGGAGCGAAAGCGUGGGGAGCAAACAGG
rnacentral:rRNA from 1 species